UACAGAGGGUGCAAGCGUUGUCCGGAAUUAUUGGGCGUAAAGGGCGCGUAGGCGGUGCCACAAGUCACCUGUGAAAUCUCCGGGCUUAACUCGGAGCCUGCAGGCGAAACUGUGGUGCUGGAGUGUGGGAGAGGUGCGUGGAAUUCCCGGUGUAGCGGUGAAAUGCGUAGAUAUCAGGAGGAACACCGACGGCGAAGGCAGCGCCCUGGCCGCCAUCUGACGCUCAGGCACGAAAGCUGGGGGAGCGAACAGG
rnacentral:rRNA from 1 species